GUGAACGCUGGCGGUAGGCCUAACACAUGCAAGUCGCACGGCAGCACAGUAAGAGCUUGCUCUUACGGGUGGCGAGUGGCGGACGGGUGAGGAAUACAUCGGAAUCUACUUUUUCGUGGGGGAUAACGUAGGGAAACUUACGCUAGUACCGCAUACGACCUACGGGUGAAAGCAGGGGAUCUUCGGACCUUGCGCGAUUGAAUGAGCCGAUGUCGGAUUAGCUAGUUGGCGGGGUAAAGGCCCACCAAGGCGACGAUCCGUAGCUGGUCUGAGAGGAUGAUCAGCCACACUGGAACUGAGACACGGUCCAGACUCCUACGGGAGGCAGCAGUGGGGAAUAUUGGACAAUGGGCGCAAGCCUGAUCCAGCCAUACCGCGUGGGUGAAGAAGGCCUUCGGGUUGUAAAGCCCUUUUGUUGGGAAAGAAAAGCAGCAGGUUAAUACCCCGCUGUUCUGACGGUACCCAAAGAAUAAGCACCGGCUAACUUCGUG
rnacentral:rRNA from 1 species